GACGAACGCUGGCGGCGUGCUUAACACAUGCAAGUCGAACGGAAAGGCCCUGCUUUUGUGGGGUGCUCGAGUGGCGAACGGGUGAGUAACACGUGAGUAACCUGCCCUUGACUUUGGGAUAACUUCAGGAAACUGGGGCUAAUACCGGAUAGGAGCUCCUGCUGCAUGGUGGGGGUUGGAAAGUUUCGGCGGUUGGGGAUGGACUCGCGGCUUAUCAGCUUGUUGGUGGGGUAGUGGCUUACCAAGGCUUUGACGGGUAGCCGGCCUGAGAGGGUGACCGGCCACAGUGGGACUGAGAUAAGGCCCAGACUCAUACGGGAGGCAGCAGUGGGGAAUAUUGAACAAUGGGCGGAAGCCUGAUGCAGCAACGCCGCGUGCGGGAGGACGGCCUUCGGGUUGUAAACCGCUUUCGCCUGUGACGAAGCGUGAGUGACGGUAAUGGGUAAAGAAGCACCGGCUAACUACGUG
rnacentral:rRNA from 1 species